rnacentral:rRNA from 1 species
UACGUAGGGGGCAAGCGUUGUCCGGAAUCAUUGGGCGUAAAGCGCGUGUAGGCGGCUGGGUAAGUCCGCUCUGAAAGCCCGGGGCUCAACCCCCGGGAGGCGGGUGGAUACUGCUCAGCUCGAGUCCGGAAGAGGAGUGUGGAAUUCCUGGUGUAGCGGUGAAAUGCGCAGAUAUCAGGAGGAACACCAAUGGCGAAGGCAGCACUCUGGGACGGUACUGACGCUGAGACGCGAAAGCGUGGGGAGCGAACAGG